rnacentral:rRNA from 1 species
ACACAUGCAAGUCGAGGGGCAGCAUGGUCUUUGCUUGCUAAGGCCGAUGGCGACCGGCGCACGGGUGAGUAACACGUAUCCAACCUGCCGUCUACUCUUGGACAGCCUUCUGAAAGGAAGAUUAAUACAAGAUGGCAUCAUGAGUCCGCAUGUUCACAUGAUUAAAGGUAUUCCGGUAGACGAUGGGGAUGCGUUCCAUUAGAUAGUAGGCGGGGUAACGGCCCACCUAGUCUUCGAUGGAUAGGGGUUCUGAGAGGAAGGUCCCCCACAUUGGAACUGAGACACGGUCCAAACUCCUACGGGAGGCAGCAGUGAGGAAUAUUGGUCAAUGGGCGAGAGCCUGAACCAGCCAAGUAGCGUGAAGGAUGACUGCCCUAUGGGUUGUAAACUUCUUUUAUAAAGGAAUAAAGUCGGGUAUGCAUACCCGUUUGCAUGUACUUUAUGAAUAAGGAUCGGCUAACUCCGUGCCAGCAGCCGCGGUAAUACGGAGGAUCCGAGCGUUAUCCGGAUUUAUUGGGUUUAAAGGGAGCGUAGAUGGAUGUUUAAGUCAGUUGUGAAAGUUUGCGGCUCAACCGUAAAAUUGCAGUUGAUACUGGAUAUCUUGAGUGCAGUUGAGGCAGGCGGAAUUCGUGGUGUAGCGGUGAAAUGCUUAGAUAUCACGAAGAACUCCGAUUGCGAAGGCAGCCUGCUAAGCUGCAACUGACAUUGAGGCACGAAAGUGUGGGUAUCAAACAGGAUUAGAUACCCUGGUAGUCCACACGGUAAACGAUGAAUACUCGCUGUUUGCGAUAUACGGCAAGCGGCCAAGCGAAAGCGUUAAGUAUUCCACCUGGGGAGUACGCCGGCAACGGUGAAACUCAAAGGAAUUGACGGGGGCCCGCACAAGCGGAGGAACAUGUGGUUUAAUUCGAUGAUACGCGAGGAACCUUACCCGGGCUUAAAUUGCAGAUGAAUUACGGUGAAAGCCGUAAGCCGCAAGGCAUCUGUGAAGGUGCUGCAUGGUUGUCGUCAGCUCGUGCCGUGAGGUGUCGGCUUAAGUGCCAUAACGAGCGCAACCCUUGUUGUCAGUUACUAACAGGUUCCGCUGAGGACUCUGACAAGACUGCCAUCGUAAGAUGUGAGGAAGGUGGGGAUGACGUCAAAUCAGCACGGCCCUUACGUCCGGGGCUACACACGUGUUACAAUGGGGGGUACAGAGGGCCGCUACCACGCGAGUGGAUGCCAAUCCCCAAAACCUCUCUCAGUUCGGACUGGAGUCUGCAACCCGACUCCACGAAGCUGGAUUCGCUAGUAAUCGCGCAUCAGCCACGGCGCGGUGAAUACGUUCCCGGGCCUUGUACACACCGCCCGUCAAGCCAUGGGAGCCGGGGGUACCUGAAGUGCGUAACCGCGAGGAGCGCCCUAGGGUAAAACUGGUGACUGGGCC